UAGCAUCUUCCCACAGUCAGGGUCUUAUUCAGGCACUUUCAUAAAUGCCUUCAGCUUUCAGAAAAUCUCUUCUGCAGAUGGGCCCAGAGCCAGCCUGUAGAAGACCAUCUUAUAAAAUAACAGACAAAUAAAGCUGAAAGGAAGCUCUGGAGGUCAUCUAGUCCAACCUCCUGCCUGAGGCAGGGUCAUCACUAUCAAAACCAUUGCAUGCAAAUCCUUGUCUAACCUGUUACUAAAAUUACGCAGUCUAUCCUGUCACACAACCACAAAGCAUAGCACACUAACCUGCCACAGGUAGAGCAGAGGGACAACAGUAACCAAUGUCAUGCUGCUGG